rnacentral:piRNA from 1 species
AGGAGGUAAUAGCAUAAGGUCCUGGA